GUAUAAGAAUGAGAUAUAGGCUUAGGGAAGGCUGUGAAAGUCAGCCGCGGUCCCGCCGCUGUAACCCUGUUCCUCUUAUAGAUAGAAGAGGGGCAAUGUCAGCAAGAUAGCGCCACUGUCCGGAUUAAAUGCCGGGUGGGAAGGCUUGCUGAAAGUAAGGGGAAGCCAGAAGACCUGCCUAUAGUGCAACCACUGA
rnacentral:ncRNA from 2 species